rnacentral:piRNA from 1 species
UCCUCAGAAAGGCAAGGUGAAUCUUC